AUUGAACGCUGGCGGAAUGCUUUACACAUGCAAGUCGAACGGCAGCACGGACUUCGGUCUGGUGGCGGGUGGCGAACGGGUGAGUAAUGUAUCGGAACGUGCCCAGUCGCGGGGGAUAACGUAGUGAAAAUUACGCUAAUACCGCAUACGAUCUAUGGAUGAAAGCGGGGGAUCGCAAGACCUCGCGCGAUUGGAGCGGCCGAUAUCAGAUUAGGUAGUUGGUGGGGUAAAGGCCCACCAAGCCAACGAUCUGUAGCUGGUCUGAGAGGACGACCAGCCACACUGGAACUGAGACACGGUCCAGACUCCUACGGGAGGCAGCAGUGGGGAAUUUUGGACAAUGGGCGAAAGCCUGAUCCAGCCAUUCCGCGUGCAGGAUGAAGGCCCUCGGGUUGUAAACUGCUUUUGUACAGAACGAAAAGGUUUCUACUAAUACUAGGAGCUCAUGACGGUACUGUAAGAAUAAGCACCGGCUAACUACGUGCCAGCAGCCGCAGUAA
rnacentral:rRNA from 1 species